GACGAACGCUGGCGGCGUGCUUAACACAUGCAAGUCGAGCGGUAAGGCCCUUUCGGGGGUACACGAGCGGCGAACGGGUGAGUAACACGUGGGUGACCUGCCCUCAGCUCUGGGAUAAGCCUGGGAAACCGGGUCUAAUACUGGAUAUGACUCCAUGACGCAUGUCGUGGGGUGGAAAGCCUUGUGCGGCUGAGGAUGGGCCCGCGGCCUAUCAGCUUGUUGGUGGGGUGAGGCCUACCAAGGCGACGACGGGUAGCCGGCCUGAGGAGGGCGACCGGCCACACUGGGACUGAGACACGGCCCAGACUCCUACGGGAGGCAGCAGUGGGGAAUCUUGCGCAAUGGGCGAAAGCCUGACGCAGCGACGCCGCGUGAGGGAUGACGGCCU
rnacentral:rRNA from 1 species